AGUUUUUCAGAAACUGGCCUUCAGCGGAAACUAAUCUACUUGGUGAGCACCGUGUUGACUUCUUGCAAAUCACAAGCUUGGGGCCACUACAUUGUCCGUCUCCAAGGCGACCCAUUAAACUAGCAGGUCAGAUCAGGAACCAUAAACCUAACACUGACGUGCUUUCAGUUGCUUUUUGCACGUUUUUGUGUGUUAGCUACUCCAAGCUGUUAUCCUCACAGCCCAGCUGGGUUUUCAACACGUAAAUUACUUCUAUGGAGCUGUGAAAAUAAAGCUUAGCUUUUUUGAGGCGGUUCAAGCACCUAACUUUGCCUUGGCAGAGAAAAGGCCUGUGCUCACGCAGUUAAAAUACUUCAGGUUUCGGGGGGGGGGUGUCCAAAUACUGAGGCCCAGCCAAUGCGGACCGGAGAGAAAACAGUCACCACCACCAGAGGAAAAUCCCGGCUUGAGGGCCUCGAGGAGUGGCACUCUGGAAAGGAGGAAACAGGCCCCGCCCACCUAAGGCCACCACCGGCUUCCGACGCCAGCCCGCCAGACUCAGAGAGCCCGGGCCUGGCCCCGGCUCCGCCCACCGCAGGCUCCACCCACAAUGGGCUCGCCCAGCUCAAACCCCGCUGCGGCUUCGGUCUCCGCCCUCCUCAGCCAGCUCCUCGGCCUCAGGUCCCGCCCUCCUUGGGCUCCCGCUUCAGGUCGCCGGAGGCUCCACCAGCCUCUGGCCGGCGACCGAAGCGGCGUCAGGGGCUGAGUGAAGGACGCGAGCGACUUUGCGGACACGCGCAGGAGCCCUGCCUGUGCGCCACGGGUCCUCGGGACCUCCAGCCCCUGAGGGCCGCGCCAGGAGUGGACCGCUCGCUUCCUUGGUCGAGGCUGUCGGCAUCUGCUUGGCCCGGUCUUCUGACCAAAGGUCGUCUGCCCUUUGUUCUACACCAUGCCCCGAACCUCUGUCUUCUCUCCAUUGCUUCCAGCAGCCUGAAUCUUCCUGAACAAAUUCCAGUCCCACUGCAGAUGUCGAGCUCUUCCAUCAGACAGAACGAACGCAUCUUCCAAAAAGUCAUCAAUACAACCAGAGGCAAAACUACACGGACAAAGAUUUAUUUUUAAAGCAGCUAAUUGAGUUUCCCCAAAUACUCCAUUCUAAUGAGGAUGAGAACCUGCAUGCUGUAUUUUUCUAUUUAAAUCCCACCUGUGCUAUAAGCCACAAAAAUACCAUAUAGGAAUCAGGACUCUUUGGACAAAAUGGCUUGUCCAAGGACCAAAGCAGAAAAUGCCUAAGAUGGGGCUGAAAGUAUGCGGCUGUUCAAAUAAUGGCUGACCCUCACAAGCUCAUCAAAUAUACAACUUGACCAAAUACAUGAUAUCGGCAAAUAAAUGGGAGAAAACUCUUCCUAAUAGCAAAAUGUCAAUACAAUAUAAAAGAAAUGAAAGAAAUAAGUCAUCUGAAAACCAUCAAAGUAAUAAUUCAGCUAAGAAAAUUAAAAGCAGAGAGCACUGAACAGUUUGAAUGCUGCCUCCACGGAAUACUUACGUAAAAGUAUUAACUGUAAAGAGAGUACCUUUGGAGGCCAUCACAGUCUCACCGGCAGUGGGACAAAUGGACCUCCUAGCCUUCUGCUAUGAUGUGCUGAGAAGAAGACAGCAUCAGCUCUGUAAUGUUUCAGCCAAAACUGCAUGCUCUGAAUCUAAUUAGGAAGCACCAUACAAACUCAAACUGAGGAGCUUCUAUGAAACAAUAACCUGUAAGCGUUAAAAAAAUUAAAGCCAUGAAGGUCAAGGAAGAACUAAGAAAUGGCUCUGAAUUGAAUGAAAAUUAAGAAAUGUGACACUAAGA